rnacentral:rRNA from 1 species
CCUACGGGUGGCAGCAGUAGGGAAUCUUCCACAAUGGGCGAAAGCCUGAUGCAGCAACGCCGCGUGGGUGAAGAAGGUUUUCGGUUUGUAAAACCCUGUCGUCAGAGAAGAAAGUGCGUGAGAGUAACUGUUCACGUUUCGACGGUAUCUAACCAGAAAGCCACGGCUAACUACGUGCCAGCAGUCGCGGUAAUUUGUGGGUGGCAAGCGUUAUCCGGAACUAUUGGGCAUAUGGGGAACGCAGGCGUUCUUAUAAGUCUGGUGUAAAAGCCGUCGGCUUAACCGGAGUAGUGCAUUGGAAACUGGGAGACGAGAGUGCAGGAGGGGAGAGU